CUUUGGCUGCGAAGAAUAUAAUCAAUCUGAUUUCGGUGUUGACCAUCUGGUGAUGUCCAUGUGUAGGGUAAAGAGUCUUUCCUUUACUUGAGUAUAACUUUUCACUUUAGUUUCUACAUUCAUUUAGUGACUUGUUGACCAGGGUUUGUCUUGCUACUCCUGCUCUAGCUCUAAUUCACAUUGAGGUAAGAAAAAUAAAGUGAAGUAAAAAAAAGGCAGAGGGGCUAUAAGCUCUAUCAUAUUUAAGACUUUAGUUUUUUUUGUUGUUGUUUCCCUUUGCCACUUUCCUAGAAAGUAAAACUCCACGGUUGUUUUGUGGGCAAAAAGAAAACUAAUCUAAGUCUGAAUGUCUGAAUAUGAACGAAGGGAAGUGGUUUUCCCCGACACAAUGAUGUCUUCUUAGUUAGCAAACUUCAGUGCAGCACAGCUGGGGAUGAGGCUGUGGCAGAGGGGAAGCAUGAGGCCAGUAUGAACAACAGAAAGGCUGGGCCAUGGCUGCUUCUGACAGAAGCUCACGAAGGUCAAGUCCUGGGUCAAGUGACUGCCCUUUGCUUUGCAAGAUUGGCUACCUCAUUUUUCUUUCAAUUAAUGCACGUAGGAUUAGUUUCAGGAGAGAAGGAAGAAUUCAAAUCCACUACCUAAGAAGAGAUGGACAACUAGAACGCCAAUUGCUGGAAUACUAACCUUCUCUGGCAGUGUCUUGGAGAGCAGCCUUGCUGAGCAUCUGUCUACGUAAUAAAUCCACUCAGGCAAUGAGAAGAUGCUUUGAAAAAAACUAGGAUGAAAUAGAAUUAAAUGAUUCCAAAACAUCCUGAACUUAAUCUGGAUAAUAAUAAUUAUGAUAUUAAAAAUAGUAGCUGAAUUUUAUUGCCUGCUACUAAUGGACUAGUUCUUUAGAAUUUUAACUGAAUCCUCUCAUUAACUCUUAGGGUCACACUCACUUAUACUCCUGGAGAAAAAUAUAAAUCUAGACAAAUGAACUAUGCCAAUCAUAGCAAAGAUUCAAGAGCAAAUCUUGGGGGCUUUGAUUUGUCUGAACAAUCCAAUUUUAAAAAAAAAGGAAGGCUGCAAAUGAACAUGACAUUAAGGAACCAAUGAAAUAAGUGAUAGGAGGAGAGUGAGUUGACAAAGACCCCUUGUCCAUUUCAGAUGCCAAAGAGUCAAGACCUACUGUUUUGUAGGGCUGCAGUGUGUGGUCUGAAGUCCGCAGAAUUGAGAUCUAAUCAUAAAUAGAGAAAAUCACUAUUAAGUAGUUGGAAGGGAGUAGAUUGUUCUGCCAGCUAAAAGAAAAGUAGGUGUUUGCUCAUUGUCUAGUUGUUAGGAUCCAGUACUUUCACUGCAAUGACCUGAUUUCAAUCCCUGGUUGGGGAAGUCCGAUCACACAAGCCUCCCCAAAGUCUAAGCUUUUAUGAGUGGUUUCUUCAAUGAAAUAUAGUAAAAUAAUUUUAUUGGCCCUAUGAGAGGUAAGCCCUACUUUCUAUGUAUUUAAACUUCUUGACCUUUCUUGUGAGCUUAAGAACAAAGAAAAAGCAGGUAACACUCUCUCGCCACAUGAGUUCUGAUGUUUCUCCUUCAGGAUGACAAUGAAAACAUCAUUCCACAUCAGAUUCUGCAGAAUGAAGUCUCUACCCACUGCAGUAGACCCUGACCUCCAUCACACCCUAAUAGGAGUUCAGAGUUGAGAUCAGGAACGAGGCCCUCUGUGCUCUGGGAAAACUGACACAACAGGCCUUCUGAUAGUUAAAUAAUUUCCAGAGAAAAUUGAUGAACCCAAUUUUACAACUUCUCAUGGGUAGAAAAGCUCUAAAAUCUUUCAGAGAGACAUCCUUUCCUCCUGAUUCUCAGCCACUUUCUCCCAAGAUGUGAGCUUAUCUGCACGUCACCCCUUCACCACAAUCGCAUGCAUACUGACCUCCUCUCCGUCCGUGGGGCAGUUCCUCAGAGCUGAGGGGAGGCUGACCUCUGGCCUGUAGUCCUCAGCAAGUCCUCCCAAUAAAAUGCACUCUUGGGAGUCAUGUUUUGGGUUUUGUUUUUUUUUUGGUUGACAAGGACCCCUUCCAGGAGACCUCUUCAGGUAACCUGCUGUUCUCGUUCUCAAGGAAGACACCUGGGUUUCUCACCUCCAGUCCAGCCGGGUCAUCCUGGUGUCUACUGAUGGAGUCCAGUGAAGAACCGCUACUCUAUUUCCCAACUUCUGGUCAAGAUGUGGGUGUUGAGGAGGCCUGUGUGUGACCAAGAUGGAAGCACACGUGUGCUUCCUAGACAGAAGCAGUGAACAUUUUCCUCCUUGGCAGGGAGAAGCUGGCUUGAAUCGUGAAGACCCUAAACCCCAGGAAGGUUUCCAAACCUCUCAAUGUACUUUAAAUGUUCCCUGAGGGGCCUCCAUGGUGGCUCAGUGGUGAGGAGCCCACCUGCCAAUAGGACCACAUGCGGCCCUAGAGGAUGCGCAUGCUGCAGAACAGCUGAGCCGUGUGCCGCAACUAUUGCCCUGUGCGCAAGACCCGGGGACCCCCACUACCAAAGCCAAGUGCAUGGGAGCCCGUGCUCCCCAACAAGAGAAGCUGCCACAGGGAGAAGCCUGUGCACCACAAGUAGAGAGGACCCACCUUUGCCACAACUAGAGCAAAGUGCAGGCGGCAAUGAAGACACAGCACAGUGAAAAAUGAAUAAAUAAAUAAAAUUAUUUUAAAAGUCCCUCCAACUUUACAUAUAGCUACUGAGUGCUGUAUGUCCCAACUGGAAAGAAGAGAAAGAUGACUGAUCCAUCAAUGUCCUGAAAAUUGUCUACACUAAAUACAUGAAUUUCCACAAAGAUCUUUGUUACUUUGAGAAACUGUAUUCUUCCAGUGUUCACUUUACUAACAUAUGUCCUAUGAGAGAUGCAAAGACACCAUGAUGGAAUUUAAGAACUUCCUUAGAUUGCAUUGUCCCCAGGCACCUCUUGCCCUGCUGUGUGAUUACUUGCUGGGUCCUAAGGAAGAAACAAGUCUGCAGCUGUGACGGGAGUGACCCUCAUGCCUUCCAGGACUCUGCAGGCUGCUGUGGUGUGAACGUCAUCUGUGCUGGGGACACAGCUGGUGGCCAGGCAUUCGUGCUCUGUCUCUGUGCUCUCAGCAUCCGCUUCAGUGUUCUCAGUCUCUGAACAGGAAUGUUGUGGAGAAGCACUUGCCUCAGUGUAGUUCAUCUGUGUUGUUCUGUGUCCUGAGGACCCGCUGCUGCUCCAGUGAACACUUUAAACAUCUCUGUUCUCCUUCCAAGUUCUCAAGCUGCUGCUGCCUUUCAACUCCAAGUGUCAGAUGCUUUGGGCUUUUCUCAAAUGUGAUUCCUGAACCAGGUGAGUUCCUCCUAGUGCAACCAUCACGUGGAAUAGCCUAGGUAGGCACUCAGAGGAGAAGGCAAUGGCCACCCAACAGUACUCUUGCCUGGAAAAUCCCACGAACGGAGGAGCCUGGUAGGCUGCAGUCCAUGGCAUCACAAAAGUCGGACAC